UGCGGAUUGAUGUAAUAGUAGCAUAUUUGGCUCAUGCCCAAAACCGGAAAGGUGCGAAUCCUUUAUCCGCUU